CUUGGUCAUUUAGAGGAAGUAAAAGUCGUAACAAGGUUUCCGUAGGUGAACCUGCGGAAGGAUCAUUACCUAGAGUUGCGGGCUUUGCCUGCCAUCUCUUACCCAUGUCUUUUGAGUACCUUACGUUUCCUCGGCGGGUCCGCCCGCCGACUGGACAAUUUAAACCACUUGCAGUUGCAAUCAGCGUCUGAAAAAACUUAAUAGUUACAACUUUCAACAACGGAUCUCUUGGUUCUGGCAUCGAUGAAGAACGCAGCGAAAUGCGAUAAGUAGUGUGAAUUGCAGAAUUCAGUGAAUCAUCGAAUCUUUGAACGCACAUUGCGCCCCUUGGUAUUCCAUGGGGCAUGCCUGUUCGAGCGUCAUUUGUACCUUCAGGCCUUGCUUGGUGUUGGGUGUUUGUCUCGCCUCUGCGCGUAGACUCGCCUCAAAACAAUUGGCAGCCGGCGUAUUGAUUUCGGAGCGCAGUACAUCUCGCGCUUUGCACUCAGAACGACGACGUCCAAAAGUACAUUUUUACACUCUUGACCUCGGAUCAGGUAGGGAUACCCGCUGAACUUAAGCAUAUCAAUAAGCGGAGGAAAAGAAACCAACAGGGAUUGCCCUAGUAACGGCGAGUGAAGCGGCAACAGCUCAAAUUUGAAAUCUGGCGUCUUUGGCGUCCGAGUUGUAAUUUGCAGAGGGCGCUUUGGCAUUGGCAGCGGUCCAAGUUCCUUGGAACAGGACGUCACAGAGGGUGAGAAUCCCGUACGUGGUCGCUAGCCUUUACCGUGUAAAGCCCCUUCGACGAGUCGAGUUGUUUGGGAAU
rnacentral:sRNA from 1 species